CCCUUAGAUGUUCUGGGCCGCACGCGUGCUACACUGAGUGGAUCAGCGGGUCAGGUUGCGCGAAAGUGUUUCCUAAUCUUGAAAUCCGCUCGUGAUGGGGAUUGACGGUUGCAAUUUUCCGUCAUGAACGAGGAAUACCUUGUAAGCGCGGGUCAUCAUCCCGCGCUGAUUACGUCCCUGCCCUUUGUACACACCGCCCGUCGCUCCUACCGAUUGAAUGAUCCGAUGAAUAUCAUGGAUUGAGGAUGCAAGCAGGUUCGCCUGUCUUCAUCUUCGAGAAGUGAAGUAAAUCUUAUCAUUUAGAGGAAGGAGAAGUCGUAACA
rnacentral:rRNA from 1 species